rnacentral:snRNA from 1 species
GGAGGUGCGGGUGAUCUGGCGGUGACGUCUGUCACCCCAUUGAUCACCAGGGUCCAUUCGGCUGAUCUGGCUGGCUAGGCCAAUGUCUCCUUCCUCCCUCACUACUCCAUGUGCAUCCCUCCCAAAGCGGCAAGCUCAGUUGAAGAGGACGACCUUACCCCAUAGAAGCAGGACCGCCCUUCGGUCAAGGGUAUACGAAUCCGAGUAGCUGACUCCCCUGCCAGAACAUCCAAACAGGCUCUCAGAACAAAACGGGGUCUAUAAAGACACAGAAGGAUCC